rnacentral:rRNA from 1 species
CGUGUAGGUGGAUCUCUAAGUCGAUGGUGAAAUCCUGCAGCUUAACUGCAGAACUGCCGUUGAUACUGGAGAUCUUGAGUGCGGCAGAGGGAGAUGGAAUUCAUGGUGUAGCGGUGAAAUGUGUAGAUAUCAUGAAGAACACCGGUAGCGAAGGCGGUCUCCUGGUCCGUAACUGCACUGAGGCGCGAAAGCGUGGGGAGCAAACA